CCUACGGGUGGCAGCAGUGGGGAAUAUUGCGCAAUGGGCGAAAGCCUGACGCAGCGACGCCGCGUGAAGGAUGAAGGUUUUCGGAUUGUAAACCUCUUUUAGUAGGGAAGAACGGUCCCUGAUCUAACCAGUAGUCACUUGCUAACUCCUGGCCAGCAGCCGCGGUAAUACGGCGGGUGAGAGCGUUAGUUGGAAUCACUGGGCGUAGAGCGCGCGUAGGCGGCAUAGCAAGUCACAGGUGAAAUCCUAGGGCUCAACCAGAGAACUGCAUUUGAAACUGGCAGUCUAGAGUAUGGGAGAGGUUGGUGGAAUUCCAGGUGUAGGAGUAAAAUCCGUAGAUAUCAAGAGGAACA
rnacentral:rRNA from 1 species